UGUUUGUUGGCAGAAGGUGGGGAAAACCAGAGAGAGUCUAGGAGACAGUGGCAACAGAUAAGACGAGGCCAUUCCACUAGGCAAGUGUGUGGAGACACAGCUGAGCUAUUACAAACUCCUGUGAGAUUGCUGAGACAAGCCUGGGUAUUGGAGGUGGUUGAGCAGAAUCCAGAAGCCCUGUAAAGAGAGGGAAAGUGAGAGAACUCCACUUGUUCAGUGCAUGGGAGAAAUUUAAAGCAUAAAAUAAAGAAAAUGAAAACUAUCCUAAAAAGAGUAAAAUCUACUGAUGGGAAUAAUCAUUAAAGUAUUUGACCUCCCUCUGCUGUUCCUGUCACAGCUAACACGCUCCUGGCUUGCAGUUUGUCCUUGCCUGUGUUUUUGGCGUGUCUCAAUAAUCCCUCUUAUGUUACCAAAACAGGUGCCACAUAGACACAAGCAAAGAAGUUUUCUUACUGUUCCACCAAAGGAUAUGACUCAUUGUUGAAGGGAUGGUUCAUUUGGUGGAGCAACUAAACUAAAAGUAUGGAAAUUUUCAGGGUUUCCAGUGAUAAGUCUUUCCUUUGGAUAUUUUCUGUGUUAUGGAUACAAGAAAACUUUUGACUGUGGACAUUGGCCUAUUAGGGAUUGACGUGUCGUUAAGUUUAAUUUAUGUGAGCCUCAUAAUGCAGGUGACUGCUUGGUAGUGGAAGUUGAGCUAGAUUUGAAUCUGUAGAAGGUUAUUGACUUGAUCUUUUAAUCUGUCAGCUCAUUCUUCACUCCUCUUUUCUGUUUGGAUGUUGUAGUAUUGAGAUGUUUUUGGAAAGAGUACUGGGAAAACUUGCAAACAUUUUUCAAACAAAAGAUGAUUUGUCUUCAUGGCUGGGAGGGUUCAUUUGGACACUUGCUCUGAAAUUUUUUUUUGUUUGGAAAACUGAAGUUCUUAGAAGUUAGAUGGCCUUUGUUCUUUCCUCUGUCUCAGACAUCUGUAUCAGCUCUCUCACCGAGCUCUUUAUCUUACUUGGCUUUUCUGUGGAUGCCUGGAGGCCUUGGCUCACAUUCUCAAGAGUGUCCACUGGUUCAAGAAGCCAUCGCUGCUAUCAAAUUACCUUGACAGCUGUUGUCCCAUUUCAUAUUUGCCAUCCCCUCCCCCUGGCUCCCUUGUGAUUUUUGGCAGAAGCUGUGGCUAUUGAGCAAUAAAACUUGGAUCUGAGAAUCCUGUUGCUGGUGGGAAAAUGAGAUGAGAGCAUGCUAGUUAAUGCCUUGCAACUUGACUUCUUGAUGAUGUACAAUCAGUAGCAUCUUUAUUUAAAACCAAAACCUACCACUAGCUACUGUGUGGAUUGAGUGGAUAGUUUGUUUACUGUUCAUCUGGAGUUGUGUGAUAGGUGCUGGUCUCUUAAAAUAGCACACUCUAUACCAAGGUGUUUAUAACCAGAAAAACUCUUGAUUCUGAGUCCUUGAUAAAUGCCUAAGGACUGCAGAACAGCUUAGAUGUUCAUGUUAAUGAAAGUGAUCCAUAAGGGCACAAUUGUCUUUGUCUUCAUGUUACUUGUAUCGAUGAUCCUGCCCCUGUGUAACCUGGAAUAGAGCUCCUGUAGUGCUGUUUAGUAGACAUUAAAGAUGACUCUAUAAGAAGUAAUUGGUCUUGCUUUGAUUUGAAUUAAUAAAAUGUAGAUAUUUG